UGUCAUACUUGAGUGUUCGGGUGAAAGUAACCCCAAAAAGUAAGACAGUAUGGUAAAACCCUGCUAUACGUACGGGAUAGAGAUUAGCCCGAUCACUAACGCCAAAAAUGUUGACUUUAGUACUGUAUCAUACAACAAAUCAUGGACAGUAAUAUUGUAAUACAGUAUAACUAAUAACUUUCAAAUGACUGAGUAGAGCGCAAUACCAUGCUGUAUAAUACAUAUUGAGGGUUACAUGCCCGACAAUGGUGAUAUGUGAUUGAAUAAGAAGAGCAUGAAUAAGAUGAGAGUGGUGAAGCACAUUGAAGGUGCCAAGGCCAAAACUCUCUCAACACCAUUUUUUGUUAGGUUGAGAAACAGGACAUUGCUGACCAUAUAU